rnacentral:rRNA from 1 species
UACAGAGGGUGCGAGCGUUAUUCGGAAUUACUGGGCGUAAAGGGCGCGUAGGUGGUUGUGUAAGAUUGAUGUGAAAUCCCUGGGCUUAACCUAGGAACGGCAUCGGUGACUGCAUAGCUUGAGUACUGUAGAGGGUAGUGGAAUUUCCGGUGUAGCGGUGAAAUGCGUAGAGAUCGGAAGGAACACCGGUGGCGAAGGCGGCUGCCUGGACAGAUACUGACACUGAGGCGCGAGAGCGUGGGUAGCAAACAGG